rnacentral:rRNA from 1 species
GCAAGUCGAGCGGAAACGAAGAUAGCUUGCUAUUAGGCGUCGGCGGCGGACGGGUGAGCAACGCGUAGGAACCUACCUAGUAGUGGGGGAUAGCCCAGAGAAAUUUGGAUUAAUACCCCAUACGCCCUAUGGGGGAAAGGAGGGGAUCUUCGGACCUUUCGCUAUUAGAUGAGCCUGCGUGAGAUUAGCUAGUUGGUGAGGUAAAGGCUCACCAAGGCGACGAUCUCUAGCUGGUCUGAGAGGAUGAUC